UCCUUUCUCUCCACGCCUUCUUUCAUUGCAUAAAUUAUUUUGUGCACUGAAUAAUCUACACCAAAGCCUCCUAUUGUCACCCAUUAGUGAUAUGAUUAGGUUUGUUUUUAGUUGAAUUCAAAAGGAUUGAAUUUAAACCUAAAAUUUUAUCCUUAUCCUCCCACAUGCUGGCACCUUGUGAAGGACCCUAAUUUGUGCGACA
rnacentral:lncRNA from 1 species